UCCGCAGCCGCUCCCGGAAGGGGGCGAGAGGGGCUUUCAACUCAGUAGUGUUUCCGGGCGCCUACUCGAGAGUGAAACUGAAACUGAGGGCUUUCAGGCCCGCGGGUAACAGGCAUCUAGAAAGAUUUUUGCAACUCAGGGUUUUCCAAGUUCCACUUGGCAUGACUUACUGCAAGAAGCUGUUAUGAAAGUCUCACUUAAAAAGUCAGCUUGCACCAAGGAUGAUUGACUUGGCAUAGUUCCCAGGGACGUAGGUCAUCUCUCAGCUGUCUUUAAGAAAUGUGCAACAGAUUAAGAAAAAGUCUGAAAACUAUUUCAAUAGGUCCAUGCUGUGGAUCUUCUGAAGCCAGAAGAGGGAUACAUUGUAUAAAGAAGCUUUCCCACUGUCAUGGCACUUACAAGCAUUCUUUGCUGUAUAAACUAUCUGAUGCUGAAUCAAGGCAGACUGAUGAAUCAAGGUUUUACUACACUGAUUCCAACCAAAGCAUUUCUCUUCCAAAUGUUUUUUUAAGAUCAUCAAAAACUCUUGCAUUCUGAGUAAAGCCUUUUCAACAAGUGUUUCUCACCUGUGUAAAGUCUCCAAUGUCGACUAAAGAGUA